rnacentral:rRNA from 1 species
GGAAUUUUGGUCAAUGGGCGAAAGCCUGAACCAGCAACGAUGCGUGGAGGAUGAAGGUUCUCGGAUUGUAAACUCCUUUUGUAAGGGACGAAAAAAAUGACGGUACCUUACGAAUAAGCCACGGCUAACUACGUGCCAGCAGCCGCGGUAAGACGUAGGUGGCAAGCGUUACUCGGAAUUACUAGGCGUAAAGCGCGCGUAGGCGGAAUGUUAAGUCUGUUGUGUAAUCUCCGAGCUCAACUCGGAAACUGCAACAGAAACUGGCGUUCUUGAGUGAGGCAGAGGAAAUCGGAAUUCCUAGUGUAGCAGUGAAAUGCGUAGAUAUUAGGAGGAACACCGGUGGCGAAAGCGGAUUUCUGGGCCUUUACUGACGCUCAAGUGCGAAAGCUAGGGGAGCAAACG